rnacentral:rRNA from 1 species
AGUACGCUGGCCGCAUGCCUUACACAUGCAAGUCGAACGGCAGCAUGACCUAGCUUGCUAGGUUGAUGGCGAGUGGCGAACGGGUGAGUAAUGCAUCGGAACGUGCCUUUUAGUGGGGGAUAACGUAGCGAAAGUUACGCUAAUACCGCAUAUUCUCUGAGGAGGAAAGCAGGGGACCUUCGGGCCUUGCGCUAGAAGAGCGGCCGAUGUCGGAUUAGCUAGUUGGUGAGGUAAAGGCUCACCAAGGCAACGAUCCGUAGCGGGUCUGAGAGGAUGAUCCGCCACACUGGGACUGAGACACGGCCCAGACUCCUACGGGAGGCAGCAGUGGGGAAUUUUGGACAAUGGGCGCAAGCCUGAUCCAGCCAUGCCGCGUGAGUGAAGAAGGCCUUCGGGUUGUAAAGCUCUUUCGGCUGGGAAGAAAUCGCACUCUCUAAUACAGGGUGUGGAUGACGGUACCAGCAUAAGAAGCACCGGCUAACUACGUGCCAGCAGCCGCGGUAAUACGUAGGGUGCGAGCGUUAUUCGGAAUUACUGGGCGUAAAGCGUGCGCAGGCGGUUGUGUAAGACAGACGUGAAAUCCCCNGGGCUCAACCUGGGAACUGCGUUUGUGACUGCACGGCUAGAGUACGGCAGAGGGGGGGGUGGAAUUCCACGUGUAGCAGUGAAAUGCGUANAGAUGUGGAGGAACACCGAUGGCGAAGGCAGCCCCCUGGGCCAGUACUGACGCUCAUGCACGAAAGCGUGGGGAGCAAACAGGAUUAGAUMCCCUGGUAGUCCACGCCCUAAACGAUGUCAACUAGCUGUUGGUGGGGUUAAACCCAUUAGUAGCGUAGCUAACGCGUGAAGUUGACCGCCUGGGGAGUACGGCCGCAAGGUUAAAACUCAAAGGAAUUGACGGGGACCCGCACAAGCGGUGGAUGAUGUGGAUUAAUUCGAUGCAACGCGAAAAACCUUACCUACCCUUGACAUGCCAGGAACUUGCCAGAGAUGGCUUGGUGCCCGAAAGGGAGCCUGGACACAGGUGCUGCAUGGCUGUCGUCAGCUCGUGUCGUGAGAUGUUGGGUUAAGUCCCGCAACGAGCGCAACCCUUGUCAUUAGUUGCCAUCAUUCAGUUGGGCACUCUAAUGAGACUGCCGGUGACAAACCGGAGGAAGGUGGGGAUGACGUCAAGUCCUCAUGGCCCUUAUGGGUAGGGCUUCACACGUCAUACAAUGGUCGGUCCAGAGGGUUGCCAACCCGCGAGGGGGAGCUAAUCCCAGAAAGCCGAUCGUAGUCCGGAUCGCAGUCUGCAACUCGACUGCGUGAAGUCGGAAUCGCUAGUAAUCGCGGAUACAGCAUGCCCGCGGUGGAAUACUAACCCG